GCUGUGUACCUGUGCUCACUGCCCCUGGCUGAGUUGCAUGCCAUGCCCUCACUUGCCCACCACACUUGGUUGAGCUGUGUGCCUGUUCCUUUGUAUGUCACCACCCCUGGCUAAGCUGUACUCCCCUCACCCCUGGCUCUGAGGGUGCGCCAGUCUGGUGCAGGCUAGGCAAGUGCUUUAUUAUUGAGCCACACCCUCAGCCCUGAGCUGUGUAUCUGUGCAUAUUGCCCCUGGUUGAGCUGUGUACCCAUGUCCUCAUGGGCCCACCAUCCUGUGCCACAGGUGGGAGGAAUUUCUGUAGCUAAGCUAUUAGAGGAAAGCUUUUGAGAAAUCAGUUUGCCUUUGAAGAAAAGAAUUUGGUAGUUUUUUCCCCCAGUGGCUGAUAGGAAGCUUAGUCAAAUCUGUAACCCCUCCCCAAUGAGGACGUGACUUCACAGUGGGAUUGUGGAUGCUCUCCUCCCUCCUUUGGCCCUUUUUGGGUCUAGGAGGGACAGCCACUGAUCUCAUAUGGUAGGUAGGCUUCUGAUUUUUAGUGCAGGACACUUGAGGUGGUCUCGGUUCAAGAUUUGAUCAUCGAGGACUUAACAUCAGAUCGUUUCCUUGGAUCACUAAAUUAGCUGUCACUUUUAUGUAUUGUUUUAGUUGUAGGUGGACCCUAUACCCUUAUUUCUAUGUGGUGCUGAGAAUCGAACCCAGUGCCCCACGUGUGCCAGGCAAGUGCUCUACCACUGAGCCACAACCCCAGCCCAUGUCAGCUUUUUGUCCUUGGCUUUUAGAAAGCAUUCUGCCCGGGCGAGGUGGCACACACCUUUAAUCUCAGUGUCUGUCUGUGCUGGAAGGCUGAGGCAGGAGUGCAAGUUCAAAGCCAGCCUUAGCAAUUAGCAAGGUAGGCCCUAAGCAACUUAGUGGGACCCUGUCUAAAGGGCAGGGGAUAUGGCUCAGUGGUUAACUGUCCCUGGGUUCAACCCCUGGUACAAAAAGUGUUCUGAGCUUCCUGACUCACAAUCAAGAUGUUGUACCACAGGUGGGAGGAAUUUCUGUGGCUAAGCCAUUAGGAAAAGGAACGCUCCAUCCACAUGACCAUGUCCUGUGGGGAUUCAUUGGUACAGCGCUUUCACACACUUUCUUGUCCUCCCACACAGCCUGCCUGGGCAUGUAAGCCCUGUGCCCAGGGGCAGGGACCUGGGGGAGGCCCAGAAUCUGAGCAGCCCUGCUUUACACUCUCCACUGAAUCACACUGUCCUUUCGCCCAAUAGAUUUAGUGAUUUUGCACUGGUCACCCCUCAGCCUUCCCUCUGGAGCAUGCUUC
rnacentral:lncRNA from 1 species